rnacentral:rRNA from 1 species
AUUGAACGCUGGCGGCAGGCUUAACACAUGCAAGUCGAGCGGGGAAGGGUAGCUUGCUACCUGAUCUAGCGGCGGACGGGUGAGUAAUGCUUAGGAGACUGUCUAUAAGUGGGGGACAACAUUCCGAGAGGAAUGAUAAUACAGCACACGCGCUCUGAGGGAAAGCAGGGGAUCUUCGGACCUUGCGCUAAUAGAGGCGCCUAAGUCAGAUUAGCUAGUUGGUGGGGUAAAGGCCUACCAAGGCGACGACCUGUGGCGGGUCUUGGAGGAUGGACCGCCACACUGGGACUGGGACACGGCCCAGACUCCUAAGGGAGGCAGCAGUGGGGAAAAUUGGACAAUGGGCGAAAGCCUGAUCCAGCCAUGCCGCGUGUGUGAAGAAGGCCUUUUGGUUGUAAAGCACUUUAAGCGAGGAGGAGGCUACUUGGAUUAAUACUCUAGGAUAGUGGACGUUACUCGCAGAAUAAGCACCGGCUAACUCUGUGCCAGCCGCCGCAGUAAUAC